CCAUUACUGUGACUUGUUGUCUGAAACAGUGACUGAAGAUGGCAUCUCCCGCCUGUAUGAAGCUUUUCAGGAAGUGCCUUUGACAUGUGACAGGACCACAGGGCACAUCCUCAAUAGACAUUACAAAUGGCUGCAGAAGCUUGGAAAUCUCGUGUCGGGUUCCGCAUUCGACUAGGGAACCGGGACCGACACAGAAGACCUCUUUGUCCUGCUAUGACAUCUAGAGGCUAACAGGAGCCAACCGAGCCCACCACUGAUCACAUCUCUUGGGAGACGGCAAAGCAGCUGCUGCAUGGGAAGGAGGAGAGAGAAGAGGCAGAGCAGGAUGUGCCGGGGUGCACCAGUCACACAUAACCUCACAGUCUAGGCGGCGGAAGCCAAGCCCCUCCCCAGCCCUGCCGGACAUGCUACAACUGGAGCACCAGUGUGAAAGGGAGCAGCUCAGCUCGGUCUAGGCAGAUGCCGAAAAUGGAGGAUGCACAUUGUAGGCUCCAGUCCAGAAGCAGCUGACGCCCCUGACUGCAGAGCCCCGAGGUGCCGAGACCCAACCCCAUCCCCGGGUGCCUGCAGACGUGCAAGGGAGCUCGGAGUCUCUGGGAGAUUCCCACGCCGGGAGCCCAGAGACCCCCAGCCCAUGGCCUAGAGACAUCUCGUAGGAAGUAACCUGGGAGAACUAGCCAUCGCCAUGGUGACUGACGUCAGAUGUUCUGGCUGGAUCCCCACUGACUCAGUGCCGAACACAUUGGCCAUGGACAAGGCCCUGGGGUAGGACCCGGGGGGGAGUAACAAGGGCCUGGGUCCCCCUACCCCGGCCACC